UUGUGUGUAAAAAAGCAGCUGAAUAUCUCUACGAGCCGUAUUUUGCGUUCUGUGGCAUAGAAGUCUGCGAGAACAAUGUAAUUGCGACUACUGGGUAGUAUUUUUGUUUCUGAAGGAUAUGGCAAGCUGCGAAGAACAAGGAUAGAUUGUGAAAUUCUUGUCGUAAGGCAACAAACAACAAAGUAUAAAAAGGAGAAGCCUUCACUUUUGUUUUCUAUUAGCAGGGUCUACAAUACAUUACGAGAUUCGUCUACAUGAUCUGAAGCUUGUCGAUGAAGUGAGGGGCUCACGUUCGGCUACCCUGGCUGUCAUUGUGCCUGGAACUCCUCAGCCUUUGCUGUUACUACCACAGUUAUGACCAUGGGCAUCAUUGUUUUUCAACUUUAACUUUUCUUUCUUUAGUGUUGUUUUACGUGCAAGUAAGCUUCUCAAUACAAGUGUGGUGCAUAACAGUGUUCAAUUAUUCACCUUCUCACAGUCAUGGGAAGGUAUCUCCACACAUUACUUUUAGGUGUGCUCAUUAGCCUUUUGAAAUCAUGCAAACAACAGACAUCACGUGGCUUCAUUUCAUCAGACAAGCCUGGCGUUAUGUUAUAUAUAUAGUGUUCCAGUAAUAAUUACCCCAUUUGAUGCAGUGUUUCAUUCAGCAUGAUGUUUCUUGUAUUGUGUGCAACGUUAUAAAUCUUUGCUUUGAAAACAUGACAACGUGGUUUCGCAACGUGCAUUUAUUUACAAAACGUGUAUGUCAUCUUAGCAUUGGCAUGAGCAUGAAUAAAAUAUUUUUUUACAAAGUUCCAAAUUAAAAAAAA